UUUUGGGUAAUUGACAAAUCAAUUAUCUUAGUUUUAUUUCAGUCACUCAGCUUUAUAAAAAUAACAAAACAACCAUUUUAAUCGUUUUUCAUUACAAAUGUAACAGUAAAGUGAAGAAGAAGAAGAAGAAGAAGAAGAAGAAGAAGAAGAAGAAGAAGAAGAAGAAGAAGAAGAAGAAGAAGAAGAAAAAUGGAGAUGCCUCCACUUUUCAAAUCAAUCCCAUACUGCAUCUCUACAAAUGAGUCCUCUAAACUCUGAAUGUUAAGGUUAAGCCAACCACUGUUCCUCUUGGAGAAAAGGUUGUAGAUUCCUCGUUGUCAAGUAGCUUAUCUGCUGUUGAAAAGGUUAGGUCCUUCAAACCUUCAAUUCUAGCUAGCAAGAUUAGCUUAUCUCAGGCUCAAAAGGACUUGGAUGCUUGUCAGGGGAGCACUGUACAACAACCAGAACUUGGAACUGAAUCUUUAACAUCUAAGUUGUUAUUAGCUACAGCUAAACAUUCCGGGGUGGUUCCAACAACUAACUUGGAUGAAAGCCUGCCAUUUAACUCUGUAUCUUCUGCCCUAGCUGCCACAUAUGAGGAAUCUACGCUAGUCAUUGCCAGUAAUUAAGGUAGGAAG